AUGGAGAAGGCGAGGCGGCGGCAGGUGCCGGCGUUCGGGGAGUGGAACUACUGCUACUACUACGACGAGCCGCCGGCCGCGGUGGCGGUGGCCGUGGCGGCCGAGUGCUACGCGCCGGAGCCGGAGGCCUGCAGCGACGUGUGGUUCAGGUACUCGCCGCCACCGCGCAAGCCGACGCCCAAGAAGACGCGGAGGCCGGACCAGGGCGACGUCGCCCGUCGGGAGAAGGGGGAGAGGCGCGGUGCCAGGGCCCUGGACGCUGCCGCCGGCCUGCCGCGCGCCACAGCCAAAGCCGGCUCUAGGGUGGUGCGCCCGGUCGACGAGGACCUGUACCAGGUGCCUCCGCCGGAGUUCACGUCCCGCCGCCCAAGGCGGAAGAGGAGCCUGCUGAUGGGUUGCCUGGGCCUCAACUCAUGCGUCGCCUGA
rnacentral:rRNA from 1 species